rnacentral:rRNA from 1 species
UACGUAGGCAGCGAGCGUUGUUCGGAGUUACUGGGCGUAAAGGGUGUGUAGGCGGUUGUUUAAGUUUGGUGUGAAAUCUCCCGGCUCAACUGGGAGGGUGCGCCGAAUACUGAAUGACUAGAGUGCGGGAGAGGAUAGUGGAAUUCCUGGUGUAGCGGUGAAAUGCGUAGAUAUCAGGAGGAACACCUGUGGUGUAGACAGCUUACUGGACCACUUCUGACGCUGAGACACGAAAGCGUGGGUAGCAAACAGG